CACAAUGCAAAGCGAAGAACCUUACCAAAGCUUGACAUGUCGUGAAUCCUCUUGAAAGAGAGGAGUGCUUUUGGGAACGCGGACAUAGGUAGUGCAUAAUUAUAGUUAGCUCUUGUUGUAAGGUGUUGGACUAAGUCCCGCAACGAGCGCAACCCUCAUAUCCAUAAUUCCUUAAAAAAAAAAAAAAAAAAAAAAAAACUGAGCACGAAUAAUUAAAAAAAGAUGUUGCAAGAAUGAAGUAAUAUGUUAUCAUUUUUCAUAUUGU
rnacentral:ncRNA from 1 species